rnacentral:rRNA from 1 species
GACGAACCGUGCGAACGUUGUUCGGAAUCACUGGGCUUAAAGGGCGCGUAGGCGGGUCUCCAAGUCCGGGGUGAAAUCUUUCGGCCCAACCGGAAAAGUGCCUCGGAUACUGGAGACCUCGAGGGAGGUAGGGGCGGAUGGAACUUCCGGUGGAGCGGUGAAAUGCGUUGAUAUCGGAAGGAACGCCGGUGGCGAAAGCGAUCCGCUGG